rnacentral:tRNA from 1 species
UCCCUGGUGGCCUAGUGGCUAGGAUUCAGUGCUUUCACCACUGCAGCCCAGGUUUGAUUCCUGGUCAGGGAA